CCUACGGGUGGCAGCAGUGAGGAAUAUUGGUCAAUGGCCGAGAGGCUGAACCAGCCAAGUCGCGUGAGGGAAGACGGCCCUACGGGUUGUAAACCUCUUUUGUCGGGGAGCAAAGCGAGUCACGUCUGCCUCAUUGAGAGUACCCGCUGAAUAAGCAUCGGCUAACUCCGUGCCAGCAGCCGCGGUAAUACGAAUGGUGCAAGCGUUAUCCGGAUUUACUGGGUGUAAAGGGAGCGCAGGCGGCGCGUUAAGCCUGGUGUGAAAGCCCGCGGCUCAACCGCGGGACUGCAUUGGGGACUGGCGCGCUGGAGUGCCGGAGGGGUAGGCGGAAGUCCUAGUGUAGCGGUGAAAUGCGUAGAUAUUAGGAGGAACACCAGUGGCGAAGGCGGCCUACUGGACGGUGACUGACGCUGAGGCGCGAAAGCGUGGGGAGCAAACAGGAUUAGAUACCCGAGUAGUC
rnacentral:rRNA from 1 species